CAGCCGCCGCGGUAAUACGUAUGUCGCGAGCGUUAUCCGGAAUUAUUGGGCAUAAAGGGCAUCUAGGCGGCCUGACAAGUCAGGGGUGAAAACCUGCGGCUCAACCGCAGGCCUGCCUUUGAAACUGUGAGGCUGGAGUACCGGAGAGGUGGACGGAACUGCACGAGUAGAGGUGAAAUUCGUAGAUAUGUGCAGGAAUGCCGAUGAUGAAGAUAGUUCACUGGACGGUAACUGACGCUGAAGUGCGAAAGCCGGGGGAGCGAACAGGAUUAGAUACCCCGGUAGUCCCUGUCUCUUAUAU
rnacentral:rRNA from 1 species